rnacentral:lncRNA from 1 species
CAUUCCUAUAGUUAGAGAAUUUGAAUUGAUUGUUAAUAGAGAAUUCAAAAAUGAAAUGAAUUCUUUCAAAAUCCCCUCCCAAACUAGUGAUUUCAAUAAUUCAUCUUAAAAUCGGUAGGGACCCAUAAAAAUAAUUCAAGUAUCUAAUAUCCUUCUCCAAUUAAUUGUAAUCCAAACAAUUUAUUUAACGACAUCUUUAAUUUAGAAAUUUUAGGGUCCAA